rnacentral:snRNA from 1 species
ACUUUUAUCUGGGCUGCUGCUCGGGGUCAGUAGGUCACAGAGUGUUUCAGGAGUAUCUCUGAGUACAGUCCUGCAUCAAGAUUGCUCAGAAUGAUGUGCUGACCCUGUGAUUUCCCCACAAGGGGGGAACUCGACUGCAUAAUUUGUGGUAGUGGGGGACUGCGCUUGCGCUCUUCCCUG